rnacentral:tRNA from 1 species
GAAGGUAUAGCUCAGUGGUAGAGUACCUGCUUAGUAUGCCCAAGGUCCUGGGUUCAAUCCCCAGGACCACCA